AUUGAACGCUGGCGGCAGGCCUAACACAUGCAAGUCGAGCGGAUGAAGUGAGCUUGCUCUCUGAUUUAGCGGCGGACGGGUGAGUAAUGCCCAGGAAUCUGCCUGGUAGUGGGGGAUAACGUUCCGAAAGGAACGCUAAUACCGCAUACGUCCUACGGGAGAAAGCAGGGGACCUUCGGGCCUUGCGCUAUCAGAUGAGCCUAGGUCGGAUUAGCUAGUCAGUGAGGUAAUGGCUCACCAAGACUACGAUCCGUAACUGGUCUGAGAGGAUGAUCAGUCACACUGGAACUGAGACACGGUCCAGACUCCUACGGGAGGCAGCAGUGGGGAAUAUUGGACAAUGGGCGAAAGCCUGAUCCAGCCAUGCCGCGUGUGUGAGGAAGGUCUUCGGAUUGUAAAGCACUUUAAGUUGGGAGGAAGGGCAGUAAGUUAAUACCUUGCUGUUUUGACGUUACCGACAGAAUAAGCACCGGCUAACUUCGUGCCAGCCGCCGCGGUAAAAC
rnacentral:rRNA from 1 species